GGAAGGGAUUCGCAAGCCGGUGCUGCGCCCGGGCUUCAAACCCGGUGAGGGACGUUCAACGUGUCUGGUGGGUUCGACUCCCACUCUCUUCCGCCA
rnacentral:tRNA from 1 species